rnacentral:rRNA from 1 species
UACGUAGGGGGCGAGCGUUGUCCGGAGUUACUGGCGUAAAGCGCACGCAGGCGGUCUGCUAAGUUUGGAGUGACAGUUGGUGGCUUAACUGCCAAAGUGCUUCGAAAACUGACAGACUUGAGGGCUUCAGAGGGACACGGAAUUCCGGGUGGAGUGGUGAAAUGCGUAGAGAUCCGGAGGAACACCGAUGGCGAAGGCAGGUCUCUGGGCCACUACUGACGCUGAGAAGCGAAAGCAUGGGGAGC